rnacentral:rRNA from 1 species
AACGUAGGAGACAAACGUUAUCCGGAGUUACUGGGCGUAAAGGGCGUGUAGGUAGUUUCGUAAGUCUGGCGUGAAAUUUUUCGGCUUAACCGGGAAAGGUCGUCGGAUACUGCGGAGCUAGAGGACGGUAGAGGCGUGUGGAAUUCCGGGUGUAGUGGUGAAAUGCGUAGAGAUCCGGAGGAACACCAGUGGCGAAGGCGACACGCUGGGCCGUACCUGACACUGAUGCGCGACAGCAUGGGGAGCAAACAGG